UACGUAGGGUGCAAGCGUUAAUCGGAAUUACUGGGCGUAAAGCGUGCGCAGGCGGUGAUGUAAGACAGGUGUGAAAUCCCCGGGCUUAACCUGGGAACUGCAUUUGUGACUGCAUCGCUGGAGUGCGGCAGAGGGGGAUGGAGUUCCGCGUGUAGCAGUGAAAUGCGUAGAUAUGCGGAGGAACACCGAUGGCGAAAGCAAUCCCCUGGGCCUGCACUGACGCUCAUGCACGAAAGCGUGGGGAGCAAACAGG
rnacentral:rRNA from 1 species